rnacentral:rRNA from 1 species
UACGGGGGGGGCAAGCGUUGUCCGGAAUCAUUGGGCGUAAAGGGCGCGUAGGCGGGAUGGUAAGUCAGGGGUGAAAAUCUCGUGCUUAACACGGGACUUGCCUUUGAAACUGCCAUUCUUGAGUACGGAAGAGGGAAGUGGAAUUCCCGGUGUAGCGGUGAAAUGCGUAGAUAUCGGGAAGAACACCAGUAGCGAAGGCGGCUUCCUGGUCCGUUACUGACGAUGAGGCGCGAAAGCGUGGGGAGCAAACAGG